rnacentral:sRNA from 1 species
CCAGCAGCAGGUAACGGUGUUGGGCCAGCCCCAGACUCGGGCUGGGGAGCGGCCAGAAGUGACUACGCUGGCCUCUUGCCAUGAGGCUGCAGGAAACAGAGUCCUCGCCGUGGUGUGCGGCCUUCCCGAGUACACCUCCACCCUUGUUCCCUCCUGGUUCAGGCCCCUCCUCUUCUGCAGCAGAGGGCUUCGUUCUGAUCCAGAGGUGCUCACUGCUCACCCAGAGGCAGCCAGGCCUGAGGCUGAGGGAGCAGGAGGCCCUGGGCAGUCCGGGCCUGGAGCCCACCCCUCCGGCCACCAGGUCCACGAGGAUGCCCAGCAUGACCCCCACCUGAGGCCCAGCGGGAUAGAAGCCUGACGACACUCAGCCAGCAGGGGGCGGGAGAGGGCGAGGGCGGCCCCGGUGGUGCCUGGGCCUCGAGCGCCCAUGUCCCCUGCGGCACCUCGAGCGCCCAUGUCCCCUGCGGCACCUCUUGCCUGACUGCACGCGGAUUUUCACCCGUGGCUGGAGCUGGUUGGUUCCCCCGUGAUAUCCGUUUCCCCGGCUGGUGUGCAGUGAGAGGGUCCGAGCCGUGGGAAGGCCACUUCUCCGCUGGACUUGGCUGUUAGGGAGCGCAGGCAGGCUGGGAACGGCACUUGACCCCCGACAAGAUCUACCACGUCACGGUGAUGCCCUGCUAUGACAAAAAGCUGGAAGCCUCCAGACCCGACUUUUUCAACCAGGAGCACCAGACACGGGAUGUGGACUGUGUCCUCACAACAGGAGAAGUUUUCAGGUUGCUGGAGGAAGAGGGCGUCUCCCUCCCCGACCUGGAACCAGCCCCUCUGGACAGCCUGUGCAGCGGUGCCUCUGCAGAGGAGCCCAGCAGCCAUCGGGGAGGGGGCUCGGGGGGCUACCUGGAGCACGUGUUCCGGCACGCGGCCCGAGAGCUCUUUGGAAUCCAUGUGGCUGAGGUUACCUACAAACCCCUGAGGAACAAAGACUUCCAGGAGGUGACACUGGAGAAGGAGGGCCAGGUGCUGCUGCACUUCGCAAUGGCGUACGGCUUCCGCAACAUCCAGAACCUGGUGCAGAGGCUCAAACGAGGGCGCUGCCCCUACCACUAUGUGGAGGUCAUGGCCUGCCCCUCAGGCUGCCUGAACGGCGGGGGCCAGCUCCAGGCCCCAGACAGGCCCAGCAGAGAGCUCCUCCAGCACGUGGAGAGACUGUACGGCAUGGUCCGGGCUGAGGCGCCCGAGGACGCGCCUGGGGUUCGGGAGCUGUACACACACUGGCUGCAGGGCACGGACUCGGAGUGUGCAGGUCGCUUGCUGCAUACGCAGUACCACGCCGUGGAGAAGGCCAGCACUGGCCUGGGCAUCCGGUGGUAGGGGCUGCAGGACCAGGACUCCCAGGAGGCCGUGUCCAUGUGUGACAGCAGAACCACAUGCCCCAAGACCCCAGGGCUCCCCCCAAAAUUCUGAGUGAGCUGCAGGGUGUGCUGGGACCCGAGUAGGAGCUAGGACUGGCCAGGACCCGCAGCCGCCUCGUCACCUCCAGUUGGGUGCCUCUGGGUUCCCACUGGCUCUGCCCAGGUGGGGUGGGGUGGCCCAGGCAGCAGAAGGUUCCCUGAGGUCCCAGAGCCUGUUCCGUUGGCCCUGGGCCGAGGCCCACAGGUGCUGCCCUUGCUGUUGCUGGUCGGG